rnacentral:rRNA from 1 species
UACGAAGGGGGCUAGCGUUGCUCGGAAUCACUGGGCGUAAAGCGCACGUAGGCGGAUUGCUAAGUCAGGGGUGAAAUCCUGGAGCUCAACUCCAGAACUGCCCUUGAUACUGGCGGUCUCGAGUCCGGGAGAGGUGAGUGGAACUGCGAGUGUAGAGGUGAAAUUCGUAGAUAUUCGCAAAGAACACCAGUGGCGAAGGCGGCUCACUGGCCCGGUACUGACGCUGAGGUGCGACAGCGUGGGGAUCAAACAGG